GACGAACGCUGGCGGCGUGCUUAACACAUGCAAGUCGAGCGGUAAGGCUCCUUCGGGAGUACACGAGCGGCGAACGGGUGAGUAACACGUGAGCAAUCUGCCCUUCACAUGGGAAUAACUUCGGGAAACCGAAGCUAAUACCGAAUACGACCACCGAUGGCAUCUUCUGGUGGUGGAAAGUUCCGGCGGUGAAGGAUGAGCUCGCGGCCUAUCAGCUUGUUGGUGAGGUAAUGGCCCACCAAGGCGACGACGGGUAGCCGGCCUGAGAGGGUGACCGGCCACACUGGGACUGAGACACGGCCCAGACUCCUACGGGAGGCGGCAGUGGGGAAUAUUGGACAAUGGGCGAAAGCCUGAUCCAGCAACGCCGCGUGAGGGAUGACGGCCU
rnacentral:rRNA from 1 species